rnacentral:rRNA from 1 species
CGCGUAGACGGUUUUGUAAGUCAGAUGUGAAAUCCCUGGGCUCAACCUGGGAACUGCAUUUGAAACUGCAUGGCUAGAGUAUGGUAGAGGGAAGUGGAAUUUCCGGUGUAGCGGUGAAAUGCGUAGAUAUCGGAAGGAACACCAGUGGCGAAAGCGACUUCCUGGACCAAUACUGACGUUCAUGUGCGAAAGCGUGGGGAGCAAACAGGAUUAGAUACCCUGGUAGUCCACGCCAUAAACGAUGACAACUAGAUGUUGGGAGGGUCUGCCUCUCGGUGUCGCAGCUAACGCGUUAAGUUGCCCGCCUGGGGAGUACGGCCGCAAGGUUGAA